rnacentral:lncRNA from 1 species
AAAAACCCAAGUGUAGCCUCUGUUGCAAUAACUAUUUUAGUUUAAAAAAAAAAAAGAAACAGGUAACAUAAUAUAAAAGUAAGCAGUUUAAGAGCUAAGAUGAACUUGUCUUUUACACUCUUGGGGUUCCAUAACUAAAAACAGAGAUUUCUCCCCAAGAUCAUUUGGAAAAAAAAUCUUAAAAUCUCAUGUCCAUAUUUCAGCUAGGACAAAUUGCUGCUAUUUCAGAAGUACAGCCAUUGCUGUUUCAGUUUGGCCUGGCUAGCAAAAAGGCAGCCUUGUUAUGUAAAUAAAGGCCCUUUAGUAGUCAAAGUCAAAAAUCUUUCCUCUUUUUUUUCCUUUUGCCAGCCAUUUUUCUCCCCCCACCACAUCACGUUUGUGUGUGUGUGUGUGUGUGUGUGUGUGUGUGAAUUUAGCCAUUUCAGAGGCCUUGUUUGCCAUAAUUUGGAACUUUUCUCUGGAUUUGAUCAAGUCAGAUAGAGUUGAUCAAACCCAAUGGGAAAAAGACCAACACAACAACAAAAACAGAAAGAAAUAACAACAAGAAAACAGUUAAGGAAAACAAAUAAUGACACAACUUCUAUGAUUACUGAGUGCUCCAAUGGCAAGGAGAAAUUAAGACCAGCUCGUUGUUAAACUUUAGCCAAGACAAACCCCAAUUCAGUCACUUUCCUAGGGAUGGGUCUCAGGAGAAAGAAUGCUCUCUACCAUCCUAGAAGCAGGAACAAACUCGAAUCUGUCUUCCCUGUUGGAAGGGAGCUCAAGCUCCAUAAAGGAAUUACCUGCCUUCGAAUUUCAUGGAAGCAGGAACAACUUGCCUUGAUUGUGUUGGAAGCAAGUAAAACUAAAAAAAAAAAAGAAGUUGUACAGCAAAGUAAACUUUAAAUCUUGGGAGAUCAGAGAUUCUCUGGGUGGGGGGCCUUCAGGCUUCAGCAAAUUGUCCUACUGGUUUGAGCCAUAAAGAUAGCUCAAACUGGUAUCAAGCACUGAUAAGAGAUUUGUCAAAGGUCAGGGGCACCUCCACUCAGAAUCCCUUUGUAGUUACCAAAAUGUAUACCCUGAAAAUCUGAGACAGGUCUCAGUUAAUUUAGAAAGUUCAUUUUGCCAAGGUUGAGGAUGCAUGCCUGUGACACAGCCUCAGUAAAGUGGCCUCAUCAUCUGGGGUGACACUUGAAGUUUAUUAUCUCACGUCCAUGGAGAUCAAGGCUGCAGACACACACAGAGUGACUUUAAGAGCAGAAAUUUAAUAAGUGAAAGAGAAUAGCUCUCUGCUACAGAGAGGGGUCCUAGAAAAAUGGGUUGCUGAUCCGUGGUGAAAUGCAGGGAUUUUAUAGAUGAGCUAGUGGGGAGGCAGUGUCUGAUCUACAUAGGGUGUGAAAAACCACCAGGACCAGGUGUGCCAUCUGCACAGGGUGUGAGUCUCUGGCAGCCUCUGCCCCAAUUUUUUAUUAUGCAGGUGGGUUCUGUGCCUGAACUUCUUCAUGUUGCCCAUUUCUUACUGUAUACGUGCUAACAAAAAAGGGAAGGUGGAGCCCCAUGGUGGACAUGCCUGGCCCCCAGGUAGCCCUUUUUUAUUGGUGUAGCCACAGGCCUCCCCCUGUACAAGCUUCCAGCUUCCUUUUCUGUCUUUGCAGCUCUAUCUUUCAGGCUGCUCUGUGUUAGAAAAGAAAUUAUUUCUAGGGCUGCUUUUUGUUAGAAGAGAAGUUUUGCCAAGGACUCGUUUGCCCUCACUAUCUGCCCAAAUAAUUUCUUUUUAUAUCCUGUAUCAUCAGGAGGUCCUGACGACAUGUGCCAAGGUGGUCAGGGGACAGCUUGGUUUUAUGCAUUUUAGGGAGACAUGAGACAUCAAUCAAUAUAUGUAACAUGUACAUUGGUUUUGUCCAGAAAGGCAAGACAACUCAAGCAGGGAGGGGGCUUCCAGGUCACAGGUAGGUGAGAGACAAAUGAGAGACAAACGGUUGCAUUCUUUUGAGUUUCUGAUUAGCUUUUCCAAAGGAGGCAAUCAGAUAUGCAUUUAUGUCAGUGAGCAGAGGGAUAAUUUUGAAUAGAAUGAAAGGCAGGUUUGCCCUAAGCAGUUCCCAGCUUAACUUUCCCUUUUAGCUUAGUGAUUUUUGGGGCUCCAAGAUUUAUUUUGCUUUCACAUAUGCCAGUACCAUGCUGUUUUGGUUGCUAUAGUUUUGUAGUAUAUUUCGAAGUUAGGUAGUGUAAUACCUCUUGCUUUGUUAUUUUCACUUAAGAUUGCUUUGACUACUUGAAGUCUUUUGUGGUUUCCUAUUCAUUUUAGGAUUAUGUGUUAUUGGU